UACGUAGGGUGCAAGCGUUAAUCGGAAUUACUGGGCGUAAAGUGUGCGCAGGCGGCGUCGCAAGUCGAGUGUGAAAGCCCCGGGCUUAACUUGGGAAUUGCGCUCGAAACUACGGUGCUGGAGUAUGGCAGAGGAAGGUGGAAUUCCACGUGUAGCGGUGAAAUGCGUAGAGAUGUGGAGGAACACCGAUGGCGAAGGCAGCCUUCUGGGCCAAUACUGACGCUCAUGCACGAAAGCGUGGGGAGCAAACAGG
rnacentral:rRNA from 1 species